UACGAAGGGGGCUAGCGUUGUUCGGAUUUACUGGGCGUAAAGCGCACGUAGGCGGAUCGUUAAGUCGGGGGUGAAAUCCUGGAGCUCAACUCCAGAACUGCCUUCGAUACUGGCGAUCUUGAGUCCGGAAGAGGUGAGUGGAACUCCUAGUGUAGAGGUGGAAUUCGUAGAUAUUAGGAAGAACACCAGUGGCGAAGGCGGCUCACUGGUCCGGUACUGACGCUGAGGUGCGAAAGCGAGGGGAGCAAACAGGG
rnacentral:rRNA from 1 species